GGAGGGAGAGAGGAAGUUAAAGAGUUCUGCUCAAAUGAAAAAAGGUUCUGCUGAAGUGGUCUAGAUCUCAAGUCUGGGUGUUUGGAGACAAAGUUAUAUUACCGAAAAGACUUCGCCACAACCGGAUCCAGCGGAGAUGUAUCAACUGAUGUCGGAAGCCACUAUGCUCGCCACACAUCAGCAACAGCUUCACAUGCUCACCACUUUAACUGAGGAACUGGUGAGAUCGAUCCAAACAUUAACCCUCUCUGCUGUUAAUCCAGGUCAACAUGCCGCUCAACCCGCUCAACCAACCUUGCCUCCACCUCAACCAAACCCUAAUCCGCGUCUCAGCCUGCCCGAUAAGUUCGACGGAUCAUCCGCCAAAUGUAACAGAUUUUUGUUAUAAUGCACCCUGUUUAUUAACCAACAACCCAGUCUAUACCCCACAGAAGACAGCAAGGUUGCCCUGAUUUGUUCGCUGCUUACCGGGAAAGCUCGCCGUAUGUAUUUUCCUUCAGCAUACAACGAUUUCAUACGUGAAUUCAGGAGGUCUUCAACACGUAGCUGGAGGAAAGGAACCUGGAGAACAGCUGCUCGCCCUCUCGCAACACUGCAGCUGAUCACACACUCACCUUUCACACGCUUGCUGCUCACUCAGGUUGGGGGAAAUCACUGCUCAAGUUGAUGUACCAAAAGGCCUUAAACACCGAGCUGCAAACUGAACUGGCUUGCCGUGAUGAGGGCAGAACUUUGGAGGAUUUCAUGGAGAUCGCGAUUAAAUUGGAUAAUAUUCUCAAGGCAAGACGCUGUAAGUAUGCAAGUUCCACAAUUCACACCCCUGUUCGUUCAUCUGUACCUGAACCCAUGCAGAUUGGAUCAACCCACCUAGACGCUGAGGAGUGAGACCGUGAGAAUGCGUGAACGCUUGUGUCUUUUGAGAUCAAUGUUCAACUAAAAGUGGAGCGGACAUGGAUUACAGCCAUAGCCCUCAUUGAUUCAGGAGCCGCAGGCAAUUUUAUCGAUAAAACGUUCGCUGAAUCUCUCUUGUCUCAUGUGAACCCCAUGUGGCAGUGGCGGCGCUAGAUGGACGCCCACUCGGACCAGGAAAUGUGUCAUCUGUCACUCAACCCCUAAUUCUUCAAGCAAGCCAUUCGAAUCAAUUCGUUUCUUUGUGAUUCACUCAAACACCGCAUCAUCCUCGGACUACCCUGGCUUGAGAUUCGCAACCCCACCAUAUCCUGGGCCGAUCAUCAAAUAACACAUUGGUCAACAAACGGUCACAAGCGCUGCCUGAACACCCCCCCUGCAUCAAUUCCCUUCCAAACCACCUCCCUCUGAAGAAAAGGUCCCAGAUUUACCCAAACUCCCUGCUGAAUAUCAAGAUUUAGCCAUUGCAUUCAGUGAGAAAGGUGCUACCCAACUACCACCUCAUCGUCCCUAUGACUGCGCCAUUGAUCUCAUGCCUGGACGCAUCCUCAACGUGGCCGUGUCUUUCCCCUCUCACAACCAGAAUCGGAGGCAAUGAGAUCCUACAUCGAGGAUGAAUUGGCCAAGGGAUUCAUCUGCCCCUCUACAUCACCAGCAUCUGCCGGGUUUUCUUCGUCAAGACGAAGGAUGGAAGCCUUCGGCCCUGCAUUGAUUACCGCAGUCUGAAUGAAGUGACCGUUAAAUACCGUUAUCCGCUGACACUUGUACCAGCCUCCUUGAACAACUCCGCAGGGCCAAGUUUUUCACUAAGUUAGACCUCCGAAAUGCUUAUAAUCUGAUCCGUAUCAGAGAAGGAGAUGAAUGGAAGACGGCUUUCUCCACGACAUCUGGGCACUAUGAAUAUCUUGUCAUGCCGUUCGGGCUCGCAAACAGUCCGUCUGUUUUUCAGGCUUUUGUGAAUGAGAUGUUUAGAGACAUGUUAAACCAAUUCCUCAUCGUUUACAUGGACGACAUUCUAGUUUACUCAGAUAACUUCGAUGGUCAUGUCAAUCAUGCCAGGGCUGUCUUACAACGCCUCAUAGAUAAUCAACUAUACGCCAAACUUCAGAAAUGCGAAUUCCACAAGUGGCUUACCUGGGUUAUAUCAUCAGUUCGGAGGGGGUAACGAUGGACGAGCACAAGGUCAAAGCAGUCGUGGAGUGGCCUCGCCCGCCUAUCAGAGAUUCAUUCGCAAUUUCAGUAUCAUCGCCGCUCCACUCACCUCACUGGUCAAAAGGAAAUCAUCGCCUAUCAUGGUCAGCUGACAGCAUCCAAGCAUUCAAACUGCUCAAAGAAAGGUUCACGUCCGCCCCAAUACUUCAUCACCCAGACCCCAACCGGGAGUUUAUUGUAGAAGUUGAUGCUUCAAAUGUGGGUAUCGGCGCCAUUUUGUCUCAACGUCACAGGCAGCCAGCGAAACUCUUCCUAUGCGCUUACUUCUCCCGUAAACUUAACCCAGCUGAGCGAAACUACGAUGUGGGGACAGAGAGCUCCUCGCAAUGAAAUCUGCCCUUGAGGAGUGGCGGCAUUGGCUAGAGGGGGCCAAACUACCAUUCACCAUCCUUACCGAUCACAGAAACCUCGAGUACAUCCAAUCCGCCAAACGUUUAAACUCGAGACAAGCCAGAUGGUCUCUGUUCUUCUCCGAUUUGACUUCAAAGUCAAAUAUUGCCCAGGCUCAAAGAACACCAAGGCGGAUGCCCUAUCCAGGCAGUUUGAGGACGCCCCUCACGAGCCCGCUCGAGAUCCAAUUCUGCCGCCUGCUCGUAUUGUUGCUCCAGUCCAGUGGGAUUUCAUGACCGAGAUCACGGAGGCCCAACUUGCCAAACCUGUCCCACCAGCAUGCCCACCUGAACGAACCUAUGUGCCACAGGGCUUACGUUCAAGAGUUCUCCACUGGGUUCACGAUACCCCAGCGCUGGUCAUCCAGGCAUCACAGCAACUCUUCAGUUAGUUAGUAAUCGCUUCUGGUGGUCAACCCUCCGCACUGACACAAUCAAAUUUGUUCAGCAAUGUCAAACAUGCAACAUCACAAAAACCUCAUCAGUGCCCAGCAGGUCUCCUACAACCCCUACCCAUACCGGAAGACUGUGGUCACACAUCGCCAUAGAUUUCGUGACUGAUUUACCGGUCUCCAAUUCAUUUACCACAGUGCUCACGGUUGUUGACCGGUUCUCCAAAUCAUGCAGGUUUAUACCUUUGCCCAAAUUACCCACAGCCUGGGAAACUGCUGAGGUGCUCUUGCAGCAAGUAUUUCGCUUCUAUGGAUUACCCGAGGAUAUAAUUUCUGAUCGUGGCCCACAGUUCACCUCUCGAGUCUGGCAUGCCUUCUGUACACAACUCAACAAUGCAAGUCUGACAUCAGGUUAUCACCCCAAUCCAACGGUCAAGCUGAACGCUUAAACCAAGAGCUGUCUCAAUUUUUGCGGAGUUACUGCCAUGACAAUCAGCACGAUUGGAGCCGCUACUUAGUCUGGGCUGAGUACGCACAAAACUCCUUAAGAAAACAAUCCACCGGGCUUACCCCUUUUCAAUGUGUACUGGGCUUUCAACCUCCACUGUUUCCCUGGUCUGGGGAACCCUCAGCACUACCCGCAGUUAACUCGUGGUUACAAAGGAGUGAGGAAGUCUGGAACUCUGCUCAUGUCCAUCUUCAAGAGCGGUUCGAAGGUUUCAAGAACAAGCGGACCGUCGGCGCAGAGAUGGACCGAAUACUCACCUGGCGAUUGGGUUUGGACUUAUGUAUAUCAGUUGACCCUGCCUGUCUUUUGAUACUCUGAUUGUUUGCUGCCUGACCCGACCUCUGCCUGUUUUUGGAUUCUGUUGUUGCCUUGCCUCUUUCACUCCUGUUUGCUGUGUUUUGACGCCUGCCUGCUUUGACCAUGCCUUUGCUCAAUAAAAGCCUGCGAAUGGAUCCAUACGCCUCGGACCCCUCAAUCUUGACAAAUAAAAGGCAGUUUUCAAAAGCAAGCAAAAAAACCUUCUGCUAGUAUUUACUAAUCCUCAUGUCAGUUCAAACCUGUGUAGAAGUAGAGUUGAGACCCGUAGAUCAGAUGUGAUCAAUAAAUAAUUAAAUUGAGGAAAAGUUCACUGAAGAUACUUGUUUUCAUCAGAAGUUGUCUUCAGGAGUUCGUAGACUGCUCUUCUCAUAAAUCCAACUCUCUAAGAAUGACAUUAUUUUAAGUUUCAGUUUUCUGACCGGAUAAAGCACAGAGAAGUUUGGACAAACUUUGUAGCAGUCAGUACAGUACAGGGAUGAUCAUAGACGUAAACGAUACCAGGCAGAAGGUCGAGGCGGGCAGCUUAUAAUCGAGUCAGGAAUGGGCAGAAGGUCAGUAGACAUGCAGAGAACAAAUACAAUCCGAAUCAGCAACAGGAAAUCAAACACAGAGAAGAACGCUCAGAAUUGCAGCCGGAACAAACAAGACUUUGCGCUCCACGAAAAAAGAGCAAAUGGCCACUUCUGCACCAUAGAAGAUUUAUUUUUUCAUCCCAAAUAUCUUCAUGUUCCAUAAUCUAUCAGAGCAGCUGCUCCUCCUCUCCAUGAACGUUGUGUUUUGUGUGGCAGCAUGUAAUAACGCAGAAUAUGAAAUUAAUGGAGAGUGUUGUCCGAUAUGUGAUCCAGGAAAUCGAGUUUAUAGACACUGUGAUAAGUUAACAAACACAACAUGUCAUUCGUGUCUCAACAAGACCUUCACUAAUGCUCCGAAUGGAUUUAUAGAAUGUCUGCCUUGUUCUGUCUGUGAUCAAAGUAACGGUCUGAGAGUAAAGAAGACAUGUACAUUAAUAUCAGAUACAGCGUGUGAACCGCUGCCGGGUUAUUACUGUAUAGAAUCACUCUCCAACUGUAAAAACAUUCAUCCUGCUCAGCUGGACAAUACAUCAGCCGAAACGGAACAGAAAUCAGAGACACGGAGUGCGAGGACUGUCCUUCUGGGUCAUAUUCAGACGGGACUAUCUGCAAAUGGCAUACAAACUGUGAGGCUCUUGGUAAGGAAACGAUCCAGAAAGGAACGGGUUCGACUGACGCUGAGUGCAGUAAUAAAACACGUUCUCAUUCACUGACACUGAUUCUGUGUGGAGUGUGGUCAGCGCUGUUGAUGGUCAUCAUUGCAGUUAUUGCAAAGAAGAAAAAAAAGGAAAAUGUUACAGUGGAUUAACCCAAGUUGGGUUAAAAAUAGUUCUCUGUCUAUAACCCAGCGAUGAUGGGUUGGGAAAGCGGACAUGAAGCACAGCAUUCACGUCACGCCACCAGAGUGUUUGGAGAUCUUGGGGGAGUUUAACCAGCGGCCUGUGAACUCGACUUUGGAGCGGCUGACGGACUUGACGGAUGAAGGUUCAGCAGACUAGCGUUCGAAGCGGCCGGUGUAGACACAGAAGGGGAGAUCGCCACGGGCCUACGGCAAGGAAUCAUGCAAAACAAACGGAUGCCUCCUGUUAUGAAAAGAAGAAUGAGGAGAUUAACUGGAAAUAACAGUCAUUUAAUGAUUCAAAACAGGGGUUACAAAAGGCAGGCAAGCACACACAGAUGCUAUACUAUGGAAAACAUUGGGCUUCUACACAGGAAACGUGAUAACACGCAGGUGGAACUUAAUUAGAUAGGGGAAUACCACAACUGAAUGGGGACAGGACGAGGAAAUACUAAAUAUAGGCAUAAGGGAACACACUGGUGAGGAAACACAAGAUGACUGUCACCAAGCCAGCAGAGGAAGCCCUUACCUCUGGAUGAUCUGUGAUCAUUCCCUCUGCUGCUACUUCCUGUUUCAAGACUAUAAAUUCUGAAGCAGGCCCCUCGCCUGCAGGUUGCAUU